UACGUAGGUGGCAAGCGUUGUCCGGAUUUACUGGGCGUAAAGGGUGUGUAGGCGGAAUUUUAAGUAGAAAGUGAAAGGUUGGAGCUCAACUCCAACACUGCUUCCUAUACUGGAAUUCUUGAGUCCCGGAGAGGAAGAUGGAACGACACGUGUAGCGGUGAAAUGCGUUGAUAUGUGUCGGAACACCAAUGGCGAAGGCAGCCCCCUGGGAUAACACUGACGCUCAUGCACGAAAGCGUGGGGAGCAAACAGG
rnacentral:rRNA from 1 species